GCCCGCGGCCGCUCCCCGCUAGCCAUGUGCCGCGGCCGCCCCUCUGCCGCGCCUGGCCGUGCGGGGCCCUUUUAUACCCGCGCGGUACCUCGCGGUGAUGAGCCGUCCCCUGCGCGGCAGCCAGGAAUGCUGCCCUCGCCCCUCACACGACCAGUUUUUCCAGGCUGCCUUCGCACUGACGGGGCGGUUUUGUUUCCAGCCAUCAUCUGGGGCGGCCGAACGUCAGCAGGUAGAGAAGGACAAACCUGUUCCGAGGCGGCGCGUUUCCUCCCUCCCUCUCUCCUCCCGCCGCCCUCCUGCCCUCCGCCCUGCCACCGGGGGAAACUGCUCGACAGGUUUCGCCGAAGCUGGAGGUGGCUCCGGGGGGUGCCCUGAGGAGCCACCAUUGGGGAGCACCAGACUUUUCCCGAGGUCACGUCCUGCUCCUGAAUGUUCCCGACCUUGGUUUCAGAAAGGAAGGACUAAGAAGCCAGAACUGAAGAACGUGAAGAAGGUUUCUGAAAAGAUAUGAAGUGUGAAGAACUGAAAAACUGUUCAGAGGUUUUGGAGAGCCAACAGGGAGGAAGGACACCCUGAACUUUGACAGACUAGCAAUGAAAUCUAAUUUACAGAGGUUUCCAAGCGGUGUUGUUGGGGUGAGCUGCAAGGCCCUCACGCCCUGUAACCUUAGGGUGGGGAUUACAGGAACCCCAUAGUUGGCUUCCCCAUGGUGGCAGUGGGGAUGCUGGUUGGUGGUGGUGCCAGGCUGCCUGCACUGCCUGACCACAUGCUGCUCUCACCAGCCAGCCCAGGAGACACCAUUUCAAAAAGAUGUGGAUGGUAAACCUCACUCUGCCAGUGACUCAGCCUCUGGCCUUGGCCAAGUCAUUUUACCACACCUUGAGAGGGAGAUAAUGCUUACCUACCUCAUCUUAUGAGGCUUCACUAAUGUUUAUAUAGUACUUUGAAUGUUUAAAGAACUGAGUGCUGUUUAUGCAUUUUGGUGUUCCAGAUCCUAUGAUCUUUGUCCCUUUAAAAAUAUAUAGGAGACUCAAGCAGUCCCAGAGGAGGUGCCCAUAGAGGAGGCAUCCCAGAGCAGCAGAGCAGGGAAAAGGCCUUGUGGCUGUGCACAGCUCGUGUGAACAUGGUGCUGCACCAGAAGCUGGAGUGCUGGAACCAGAACAGGUUGUUCUAGGUGCCUAUGCAAACCUCAUGCUGAGGAAGCUCCCUGGGUCUAGGCUGGAGGCAUUUCAGUCUGCUUUGGUAAAGCCAGCUCCUGUUCUUCCGCUCUGCCCUCUCACACUCAAACCCAGAGCUUAAUUUUGUGCCUUCUUCAAGAUAGCCCAAGCCACAGGGAGUUUUUGGACCUUCUCAUUCUCCCAAGAGGAUAUUAACUUGCCUUGGAUAGAGGAGGGUGCACUAUUUGUGAGUUCACUCAAAGGACACCUCUGUCCUUGGCAUCUGUGGAAGCAAGACUGUUAUUUACACCCUGUAAGAAGAGGCAUUUGUGCUAUGACACAGUGUUCUAGGUCGUCCACUCCUGCCAGUGAUGUGUACAGUGUGUGCAGCUUGACUGCAUGGGCUGUAUUUUAUAUAUAAUCCUUCACUGACUACACUGGCAACUCUCACCUGCCUCUGACAAACACAAACUCACACCCACACCCACAGCUUCACAAAUACCACCCAGCUAAAUAAUAACUUGACUGUCCAUUCUAACUGGGUUCAAGAGUCCUUUCCAGACAAACCUGCUGCUGCACUGGUGAGAUAUGUAAUCCCCAGGGAUCCCAUUGCUGUUCUGGUCCUGGUCAGACACACAUGGCAGAUGGCCCCUAAAGGACUCUGGGCACUGAGUGGGGACCUGCCUGAGGUACCAGAACCUGUCUGUUUAGGCAGGAUGAACCAUCUCCUGCUUUGGACUUCUUUUUAAUAAGUGCCAGUGGUUUUACAGUGAAUGGGUAAACAUACCUUUCAUUUAAUUAUAGAACUAUUUAGUAGGUUCUGUUUCUUACCCAUAUACCCUCAGUUAUGAAAGUAAGAGAGUUAACAUCAUUUUUCCUCCCUUCACUAGGCAGAGUCUCAGAGAAUGGGCUAAAGGCUUUGAAAGGUAGAAGAGUAGAGGCGCCCAAAAGUGAAAAUGGACAGGCAGCACUAUCCAAGGGAUGGGCAAUGUAUUGUUCUUCCUCUGUGCAACUAUGAAAGGUGAUUGAAACAUUAAAAUAAUAGAAUUGGUUCUGAAAUUAUAUGGGGGGAGAAAUGAAGAGUAUUAGAAGGAAUAGUAAUUAGUCCAUUGUUUCUGUUGAGAAAAAUAAAUACUGUUUGUAUCAGUGGGACCCAAAUGAAAAGGACUAUGGUACCUCCCAGCAUGGCACCAUCACACUGGAUGCUGAGAGCUCUGUGACUGCACCAACACUCCUGAAGCCUGGAGGAGCAGCACACUGUAAAGUGGAACAUGAUGGCUUGAGCCCCUGGUACAGCAGGCAGAGUUUUCUUGGAUGGGGAAAGCAAAUACCAGUCACCUGACAGUGGCAAACAAAGAAGGCAGCACAAAAGGAGACAUAACGCCAGGGGUGGUUGUAGGAGACAAAGAGCUGGUCUGGGAGGAAGUGAAGAAGAAGGGCAAGGUUGUGGGAGGACAUAAAAGGCUGUACUGUUUGCAUGGCAGAAUAUGGAAGAUCAUGAAUGCCUGGUAAUGAGAGGAGGAUUAUAAUUGAGGGAAGUUCUGCUUUGAAAAACUGAAGUUAUGAAAAAUGACUGGGAGGUGCUGUCAUUAUUACCAAUCAAUGUCCCCACACUUCUUUGGCAAAAACUCCCAACACUUUCCUGCUACUUCCUUAUUCCACAGGUAACAUUAUGGAUGGGCAUAGAACAACCCAAAGUACUAUUCCUUGUAUGACAUAGUUUAUCUGACAAUUUUGGACUUAAAUCCAGCACUCAAACUAAGCAUGGACAUGGAACUUACCAUUUCUUUGUUUAUAGUUUUUAUAUUCCUUGUUAUUACUUCCUGAUUUCCUACUUUUGCUCAUUAAUGCUCACCUAAAAUUAGAUUGGAAGUUUCAUAAAGACCCAGAAUCUGACAUGUCCUGUAAAGUAUUUUUAGUAUUCUUGGGUCUGGUAAACAGAAUAACAAACAAACAAAAAAAUCUCUGCAAGUGGAUUUUCUGCCUCCCUGGAAAAUCAGCAUUCCAUAUGUUCAUAGCAAACAGUGAUGGGGCAACUUCAUGUUUACUUUAAUUGGCUUAAAUUCAUUUGUCAAUACAGCAACCCACUAUGUGUCACAUGUGAGCAUAAUAAUAGCUUGAUACUAACUUGAUUUGCAGUAAUAAACACCCUGAGAGAUGGCCUAAUGCUUCCUCGUGUAAAUAGGAAGUCUUUUGAGAUUACUGCCUAAAUAACAUCAAGUGAUUUAUAGAUAAAUGGAUGAGGUGGGAUGUUUUAUCAAACAAGAACUUUUAGAAAGAUUGUGGAUUUGCCAUUCAGUAGGUAGAUUAAUAAAGAAGUGCUAGAAAUUAAAAUAUGGCUAGCAGCUUCUUUCGAAGCCAAGAAUUCACAUUUUAUUGGAAAUGCUACUAUUGUGUGCACAAAGUUUUGAUUAAAUCCAAAAUUAUCAAUUUAUCAGGAGAGAGAUUUGUAUCUCAAAUGCUUUAUCUAAGUAUGCAGUUCAAUGUCCCUGAGCAGUACAGAGGUUACAUACCAAUUUAAUGUGUAAUACUGCUUUUCACCAUUUACCUUGUUUUGACUUAACAUCUUGUUCAUUCCAAUAGCUAAGUAUGUAAAUUACAUUAUACAAAUUAAUGUAGUUUUUCCCUUUUUGUGAGAAUUUUUCAAGUCAAGCUCUGUUUUUAUUCAAUAGCACAACAGCAAGCAGCAGAUUAUAAUUUUCUGGUUUCUAUUUCAAACUUUCAGUUUAAUUGUUAAACACAUCAGUUCUUCUAAUCAGUCUAGAAUAAGGAGACCUCAGGGCUCUGCACACUUCCAGGAUGGUUCAGUAGGUACAAUUUCCUGUGCAUCAGCAGCUGCAAAAAGAAAAAUGUGUGAAGAGCAAUGCUUGUGCUGCA